UGGAGAACCUGCAUUUCUAACAAGUUCCCAGGCGAUGCUGAUGUUUCUCGUCCAGCGACCACACUUUGAAAACUUCUGCUUAGCAGAUACUGCCAAACUGUUUUCCAAAGUAUUUGUACCAAUUUACCAUCCCACCAAGAUGAGAGUGCCAGUUGCUCUGCUUGGUAUUAUCCUCCUUUUAAAUUCCGGUCAUAUGGAUGGAGAUGGAAGGUGAAAAGUCAAUAUGUGGGGCAUGGAACCUUCUAGAAGAGCAACUGAUGUUGUCUCUCCACUUCUCCAAGAUAAUGGUGGAGAUGUGGAGUCCUAUAACGAAAAGUGGGAAAACAGGAAGAGGGAGAGUGAGCAAGAAUACAGAUAUCCAAUCCAGUUUGGGGCAAAUAAAUUCCCGGUGUCUGGAAGAUCCAGGUGGACGUGGUCAGUUGGAAGCUGAGAAUACCACUUGCAAGAGAAGCCAGAAGAAAGGGAUAGAAAAUAACUAUAAAAAGCACCACAAAUAUUUGCAUGCUAAUUGUGGCUUCUAAAGGCUUUGAGGGGGUUUGAAAACAGCUUGCUUUUCACAUAGUUUCAGCAUUAUUCUUGCCAUUUUAUUUUUAAAAUACAGUUUGCAGUAUCUAUGAAGAAAAUGCUUGCUUAGCAGUCUAACUCAUAUUAAUCACAAAUUCCAAAUUCAUGGCAUCAGAAUUACAAGAAGUUCCAUAUUGUAUAAUUAGAAGAAGAUUCCAGUCUUUGGUUCAUUGACUCUGGAGCCAUAUUACAGUCUUGUUAUAUUUGAUAAUGACAUAGCAGACAUUCUAUCAGAACUUGGCUAUCUGGAGAGAGAUUCCAAAAUGCUUUAAUCUUGUCACAAAUCAGAAGCAGCUGCUCCUUAUAAAAAUGAAAGCUCAAGGCUGUGUGGUCCACAGAAAAGCAAAUCUGACUUACACUCUUAAAUGGCAGAUUCCAGGGUUUCAAUUGGCAAGUGUUCUCCAUCCAACAACCCCCUCUCCGUGUUGAUUCAGGUUGGUUUUAUUUCUUUAGACCACUCUCCAACUGAAAAUUGCAUUUGUGUAAUGAACUUUAUCAUAAGCACUUAGGCUUUCUAUAGCUAAGGCUAAGCAUUAUCUUGAGACUUUUACACUCUGAAAAAAACGGAUACAUGGAAAAUGUAAUUUAAAUACAACUUACCCCCUCUGAGUGGUGGAAUAACUAAAGAGAGAAAUGUUAUUAUCAUCAGUCAGUCAAGGGCUGCAAGGCUCAAUCGCUGAGCCUACAAACCUUCCAUAGGUUCUGUGAUGACAUGAAACUGCUGUCCUAGAAACUCUAAAACUAACAAGAGUAUUAGCUUCAUUGAUUUUCUGAAAAUGGGAAAGGAAAAAAACAGUGCUCAGCUAAGUCCAGGAAAGAGAUUUAAUACAACUGUCUUUUAAUAAUAUUAAGUUUCCUAGAAUCAAUAUUUUCUCCCCCUUGUAUUAUACCAUAGGUUGCUACACACCAGUUGCUAUGUAGUUGAAUGGGAUCAAUAGAAGCCUUCCCUUCUUUGAAGACCAUUUCAAAGACCUGCAUAAUGGAGCAUAGAUUAGGACGAGUGAA
ensembl:lncRNA